rnacentral:rRNA from 1 species
CACGUAGGGUGCGAGCGUUGUCCGGAAUUAUUGGGCGUAAAGAGCUCGUAGGCGGUGUGUCGCGUCGGCCGUGAAAACCUGCAGCUUAACUGUGGGCUUGCGGUCGAUACGGGCAUCACUGGAGUUCGGCAGGGGAGACUGGAAUUCCUGGUGUAGCGGUGAAAUGCGCAGAUAUCAGGAGGAACACCGGUGGCGAAGGCGGGUCUCUGGACCGAGACUGACGCUGAGGUGCGAAAGCGUGGGGAGCGAACGGG